GGAAAUAUGAGGGAGAUCUGGCUGGAACAUCUGUCACCCCAUUGAUCACCAGGAUGGAUUCAGCAGAUCUGACUGGCUAAGCAGGUGUCCCCUUUCUCCCUUGCUGUUCCAUGUGUGCCCCUCCUACAUCUGCUUCCUUGGUCAAAGAGGACAACCUUCCCUGAUUGAGAAGGACCAUUCUUCAGACAAAAACAGAUAAGUAGCUGCACUCCCCUGCCAGAACCUCCAAACAAGCUCUCAAGGAAACAGGUGAGGGGGUUGUAUUAAUUUAAUAAACCAGAAGUACCAUAUUUAUUCAUUGAUUCCACAAAAAUUUAU
ensembl:misc_RNA 7SK 7SK RNA